CUAAGCUGACAGCGUGCCCCUGCAUCCUGUGCUACAAUGAGUGCCAUCUGAAGGAGCCGUACGAGAGGAAGUUCCUCAUUGUGAAUAACAGCCACAUUCCUGGCUGCUAUGAGCUUAUUGCCCAGAAACGCAAGGAAGAUACUCCUGUGUUCUACUCCAGCUCCGAGCCCUGUGGGAUUGUCCAGCCUUUCAGCACAGCAGAGAUUCCAGUUACAAUCAAAGCCCAAAAAUUGGGUGAGUAUGACACCAGUGUCCUUAUUGGCGUGUUCGGGGAUGAAGGAAACCCGCUGGUGAGUGCAAGGGGAGACGUGUGCCUUUGUGCAACUCAUCCUGGCAGGGUGCAAAGCGUACAGGGAUUCUUCCAGAGAAAACAGGCACAGGCUGGUGUGGAGAAGAACAGAAGGGAUUGGUGGCAUACAUAGCUCAUGCCUUAUAGGUGGUAAUCUCAGUGUCUGACACAACGUAUCGUUCAUCUAAGCUGGAAUCAAGGAUAAUUUUAGUUAAUUAAUCUUUAAAAUGCCAUUAACUUUGGAAACAUCUGUUUAAAAAUGUCAUGUCAUCUCUCUGAGCACAAAAGAGAAUGUCAGAAGAUUUCUGGAAACCUUGAGCUUUCUGUAAAAGAAAGGAAAGCUGGCAUUUGGAAAGUAGUUGCAAGGAUCCAAACAUAUUAAGACAUAUGGAAAUGAUGAUGCCAAAUUCCCUGGAUGGCACCAUCACACUGGGCCAGUGUGGCACUGCAUGUAAGUCAGUCAACAGGAGGGCCAGGCAGUGCAGGCUGUGGCAGGGAGCCUGAAGUUUGACUAAACAGUUGCUUUUAACUAUCACGCUCCUUACCUUAAAGAGGAGGGUUUCUCCCCACUAGAAUAACCAGUUGUUUAACUGUCAGCCUGGUCUUAACUACAGAUUUCUUGAAAAGCUUUUACCUUUGGGCCAAUAAUUUGUAGUUUGAAACUUUCUCUUACCUUAAUCCUUUUUAAUUCAGAGGUGAAUGUAGAGGGAUUCCUUGUGGAACAGGGGCAUAUGACAGCCCAGGAGAGUUUGGGCAACCCAGGGCUGCUGCAGAAGCACCCCUGAAGGGCCCUCAGGCUGCAGAUAGGCCAGAAAGACACCUGGCAGCAGGCAGCCUUGAACAGCCUUGGGAAAAGUUACACGCUGGUCGGCUCCCCUGCUGCUUAGAGGCUGUCCUGUGGAAAUAGGGCAUGAAGCUUUGUAAAGUAGAUAUAAGUGAGUGUAAGUAAACAAGAAAGGAAGCACGAUGCUCAAAUCGUAUCGGUGUUCGUAUCGUGACUUUGGCCGGCUCCCCUGCGCUCAGAACCCUCCCCCCCCCGCUAAAGGUGAAUGUGUCUUUUUUUUCCCCCAAAAAGCCCAGAAUUUCAG
rnacentral:lncRNA from 1 species